rnacentral:misc_RNA from 1 species
AAAGUGCGAUAAGCAAUGCGAAUUGCAGAAUUCCGCGAAUCAUCAGAUCCUUGAACGCAACUGGCGCUGAGAGGAUAUCCUUUCAGCAUGUCUGUUUCAGUGUCUGAAAACAUCACACACUCUAAUCAUAAUGUGUACAUGACAAAGAAUAAUGUGGAACUAAUAAAUUCCACUCUCUAUUCUAAGUCUUACAUGAAAGAUGUAUGUGCGGGUCUUUGUGCCCUCAAUCGAAUUGGUCACUGACAACCUUCAGUGAUUUCGAUUUAUGAGGAGCUUCUAAUACAAUUACCUGUAUGCACAUAGUAUUUUAACAAAAUACAUUCAUCUCUGCAUCUGAAAUCAGGCAAGAACACCCGCUGAACUUAA